GACGAACGCUGGCGGCGUGCCUAACACAUGCAAGUCGAACGGAGAUUUCAGCAAUGGAAUCUUAGUGGCGAACGGGUGAGUAACGCGUAGACAACCUACCUUCUAGAUGGGGACAACACUGCGAAAGUGGUGCUAAUACCGAAUGUUGUAAUUAGGAUGCAUAUACUGAUUACUAAAGGUGGCCUCUAUUUAUAAGCUACCACUAGAAGAUGGGUCUGCGUCUGAUUAGCUAGUUGGUGAGGUAAUGGCUCACCAAGGCGACGAUCAGUAGCCGGUCUGAGAGGAUGAACGGCCACACUGGGACUGAGACACGGCCCAGACUCCUACGGGAGGCAGCAGUGGGGAAUCUUCCGCAAUGGACGAAAGUCUGACGGAGCAACGCCGCGUGAGUGAAGAAGGUUUUCGGAUCGUAAAACUCUGUUUUCAGGGACGAAUGUGCCGAUUGUAAAUAAUGGUUGGUAAUGACGGUACCUGACAAGAAAGCCACGGCUAACUACGUGCCAGCCGCCGCAGUAACAC
rnacentral:rRNA from 1 species